rnacentral:rRNA from 1 species
UAAUACGAGGGGGGCAAAUGUUGUUCGGAAUCACUGGGCGUAAAGGGAGCGUAGGUGGGUGCUUAAGUUGGGAGUUUAAUUCCGGGGCCUAACCCCGGGCAGGCUUCCAAAACUGGGCGUCUUGAAUGGGACAGAGGCUGAUGGAAUUGGGGGUGUAGCGGUGGAAUGCGUAGAGAUCCCCAAGAACACCAGUUGCGAAGGCGGUCAGCUGGGUCCACAUUGACACUGAGGCUCGAAAGCGUGGGGAGCAAACAGG